CUUCAAUGAUGAUACGAUGACGAGUCGGAACGGGAUGCUGGUUGUCUCUCUGGAUUCUGAGUUAGCGGUCACGUUCUGUGCCCCUGAUUCAGUUCCUCAGAGCGCAGUGUUCCUUUUGGUUGAAGACAUCGAGGCAUUUGUCUGAGAAGA
ensembl:snoRNA SNORD15 Small nucleolar RNA SNORD15